rnacentral:rRNA from 1 species
AUGGGGAGGGCUCCGUGCUGCGAGAAGAUGGGCCUCAAGAGGGGCCCCUGGACGCCGGAGGAGGACAAGAUCCUGGUCGCCCACAUCCACAGCCACGGCCACAGCAACUGGCGCGCGCUGCCUAAGCAAGCCGGUGAGUCCCUCCGCCUCACAAACGCAUCUCCGCCGUCUUCUCUCUCGCGCCGCGGCGUGCAGGGCGCUCAAGAUCCGUCUCUGACCUCCGUUUUCUGCGCUGUUUUUGCAGGCCUGCUGCGGUGCGGCAAGAGCUGCCGGCUCCGGUGGAUCAACUACCUGCGGCCGGACAUCAAGCGCGGCAACUUCACCGACGAGGAGGAGCAGUCAAUCAUCCAGCUGCACCAGCUGCUCGGCAACAGAUGGUCCGCGAUUGCCGCCCGGCUGCCGGGGAGGACGGACAACGAGAUCAAGAACGUGUGGCACACCCACCUCAAGAAGCGGCUCGACCCCAGCGCGCAGGAGCAGCACCAGGAGGCCAAGAAGCGCAAGAAGCCGGCGGCGGCGGCGCGGAAGCGCGAGGGCAAGGUCAAGAUGAGGAAGCUCGACGCGCUGACCGCCAAGGCGGCGCCCGUGCUGUCCUCGCCCGAGCGCUCCGUCUCGUCCACGCUCACCGAGUCGACGUCCACGGCCUCGGCGGCGGCGGAGCAGCACGGCAACUCGGGCAGCUCCGCCUCCGCCUCGGCGUCCGUCAAGGAGGAGUGCUUCACCUCGUCCGAGGAGUCGGAGGAGUUCCAGAUCGACGAGAGCUUCUGGUCGGAGACGCUGUCCAUGCCGCUGGACGACAUCAACGACGUCUGCAUGGAGCCCCACGACGCGUUCGGCAAGCCGGCGGGCGCCGACGGCGGCGACAUGGACUACUGGCUCAAGGUGUUCAUGGAGGGCGGCGGCGACGACGACGACAACAACGACGGCGCGCUAGACUUACCGCAGGUUUAG